UACGUAGGGACCAAGCGUUGUUCGGAUUUACUGGGCGUAAAGGGCGCGUAGGCGGCGUGGUAAGUCACUUGUGAAAUCUCUGAGCUUAACUCAGAACGGCCAAGUGAUACUGCUGUGCUAGAGUGCAGAAGGGGCAAUCGGAAUUCUUGGUGUAGCGGUGAAAUGCGUAGAUAUCAAGAGGAACACCGAUGGCGAAGGCAGCCCCCUGGGAUAACACUGACGCUCAUGCACGAAAGCGUGGGGAGCAAACAGG
rnacentral:rRNA from 1 species